CCUACGGGGGGCAGCAGUGAGGAAUAUUGGUCAAUGGGCGUAAGCCUGAACCAGCCAAGUCGCGUGAGGGAUGAAGGUUCUAUGGAUCGUAAACCUCUUUUAUAAGGGAAUAAAGUGCGGGACGUGUCCCGUUUUGUAUGUACCUUAUGAAUAAGGAUCGGCUAACUCCGUGCCAGCAGCCGCGGUAAUACGGAGGAUCCGAGCGUUAUCCGGAUUUAUUGGGUUUAAGGGGUGCGUAGGCGGCCUUUUAAGUCAGCGGUGAAAGUCCUUGGGCCAACCAUAGAAUUGGCGUUGAAACUGGGGAGGAUUGAGAAUGUUUGAGGAAGGCGGAAGGCGGGGUGUAGGGGUGAAAU
rnacentral:rRNA from 1 species